rnacentral:rRNA from 1 species
GUUUGUUCUGACACUGAAUACGCCCAAUCUCAUCUGAUCUGCAAAGCUAAGCAGGGUUGGGCCUGGUUAGUAUUUGGAUGGAGAUUACCUGGGAAUACCAGGUGCUGUAAGCU